rnacentral:rRNA from 1 species
GCACCGAAGCUGCGGCAGCGAACGUAUCACCCAAGACAACUUUACGGAGUUGACGAUUGACGGAGCGAAGCGACGUCAAAGCGUUCAUUAAAGUCGAGUUGGCUUAGGGAUACGUUCGUUGGGUAGGGGAGCGUUCUGUAAGCCUGUGAAGGUGUGUCGUGAGGCAUGCUGGAGGUAUCAGAAGUGCGAAUGCUGACAUAAGUAACGAUAAAGCGGGUGAAAAGCCCGCUCGCCGGAAGACCAAGGGUUCCUGUCCAACGUUAAUCGGGGCAGGGUGAGUCGACCCCUAAGGCGAGGCCGAAAGGCGUAGUCGAUGGGAAACGGGUUAAUAUUCCCGUACUUGGUGUUACUGCGAAGGGGGGACGGAGAAGGCUAUGUUGGCCGGGCGACGGUUGUCCCGGUUUAAGCGUGUAGGUGUGUGUUCCAGGUAAAUCCGGUUCACUUUAACACUGAGGCGUGACGACGAGGCACUACGGUGCUGAAGCAACAAAUGCCCUGCUUCCAGGAAAAGCCUCUAAGCAUCAGGUAACAUCAAAUCGUACCCCAAACCGACACAGGUGGUCAGGUAGAGAAUACCAAGGCGCUUGAGAGAACUCGGGUGAAGGAACUAGGCAAAAUGGUGCCGUAACUUCGGGAGAAGGCACGCUGACACGUAGGUGAAGUGAUUUACUCAUGGAGCUGAAGUCAGUCGAAGA